GACGAACGCUGGCGGCGUGCUUAACACAUGCGAGUCGAACGGAAAGGCCCUGCUUUUGUGGGGUGCUCGAGUGGCGAACGGGUGAGUAACACGUGAGUAACCUGCCCUUGACUUUGGGAUAACUUCAGGAAACUGGGGCUAAUACCGGAUAGGAGCUCCUGCUGCAUGGUGGGGGCUGGAAAGUUUCGGCGGUUGGGGAUGGACUCGCGGCUUAUCAGCUUGUUGGUGGGGUAGUGGCUUACCAAGGCUUUGACGGGUAGCCGGCCUGAGAGGGUGACCGGCCACAUUGGGACUGAGAUACGGCCCAGACUCCUACGGGAGGCAGCAGUGGGGAAUAUUGCACAAUGGGCGGAAGCCUGAUGCAGCAACGCCGCGUGCGGGAUGACGGCCUUCGGGUUGUAAACCGCUUUCGCCUGUGACGAAGCGUGAGUGACGGUAAUGGGUAAAGAAGCACCGGCUAACUACGUG
rnacentral:rRNA from 1 species